AUGGAGCAUGCCCACAUGAGGCUAAUAAAUUUUUUGGGGCAAGGCUAUCUCACGCCCACUUGCCCACGGUCGAUUUCCGACAGGCCCCCGAUGGCACCGCCGCAUGCUCCUGGAGGGGGCGAUGACGUGACUGUGGCGCAGUGCCCAAUCUGCAUGGAGGAGCUGGUGCCCAACAGCAGCCGCGGAUUCGUCACAAGAUUGCCCGGCUGCCUGCACUCCUUCCACGAAAGCUGCAUCGCACAAUGGUUCUGCAGGGCGGCCACGUGUCCGUGCUGCCGGCGCGACAUGGCAGCGUACAAUAACCGCGCGUACCCGCUGAACAUGACAUCGCUCUACUCGGAGACGACCAUGACGGUUGCGCUGCCCAUUCCGCGCCGUCCUCAACAACGCCGUACGGCUCCCUUCACGUCCCAGGGGCCACUAAACUGA
rnacentral:rRNA from 1 species